rnacentral:rRNA from 1 species
UGGGGAAUAUUGCACAAUGGACGCAAGCCUGAUGCAGCCAUGCCGCGUGUGUGAAGAAGGCCUUCGGGUUGUAAAGCACUUUCAGCGAGGAGGAAGGGUAGUGUGUUAAUAGCACAUUGCAUUGACGUUACUCGCAGAAGAAGCACCGGCUAACUCCGUGCCAGCAGCCGCGGUAAUACGGAGGGUGCAAGCGUUAAUCGGAAUUACUGGGCGUAAAGCGCACGCAGGCGGUUUGUUAAGUCAGAUGUGAAAUCCCCGCGCUUAACGUGGGAACUGCAUUUGAAACUGGCAAGCUAGAGUCUUGUAGAGGGGGGUAGAAUUCCAGGUGUAGCGGUGAAAUGCGUAGAGAUCUGGAGGAAUACCGGUGGCGAAGGCGGCCCCCUGGACAAAGACUGACGCUCAGGUGCGAAAGCGUGGGGAGCAAACA